GUAACACGUAGUCAACAUGCCCAGGGGACGUGGAUAACCUCGGGAAACUGAGGAUAAACCGCGAUAAGCCAUGAUUUCUGGAAUGAUCCAUGACUAAAACCUAUAUGGCCCCUGGAUUGGACUGCGGCCGAUCAGGCUGUUGGUGAGGUAAUGGCCCACCAAACCUAUUACCGGUACGGGCUCUGAGAGGAGGAGCCCGGAGAUGGGCACUGAGACAAGGGCCCAGGCCCUAUGGGGCGCAGCAGGCGCGAAACCUCUGCAAUAGGCGAAAGCUUGACAGGGUUACUCUGAGUGAUUUCCGCUAAGGGAAUCUUUUGGCACCUCUAAAAAUGGUGCAGAAUAAGGGGUGGGCAAGUCUGGUGUCAGCCGCCGCGGUAAUACCAGCACCCCGAGUGGUCGGGACGAUUAUUGGGCCUAAAGCAUCCGUAGCCGGUCCUGCAAGUCUUCCGUUAAAUCCAGCUGCUUAACAGAUGGGCCGCGGGAGAUACUACAGGGCU
rnacentral:rRNA from 1 species